rnacentral:rRNA from 1 species
AUUGAACGCUGGCGGCAUGCCUUACACAUACAAGUCGAACGGCAGCGCGGGAGCAAUCCUGGCGGCGAGUGGCGAACGGGUGAGUAAUAUAUCGGAACGUGCCCAGUAGUGGGGGAUAGCCCGGCGAAAGCCGGAUUAAUACCGCAUACGACCUGAGGGUGAAAGCGGGGGAUCGCAAGACCUCGCGCUAUUGGAGCGGCCGAUGUCGGAUUAGCUAGUUGGUGGGGUAAAGGCUCACCAAGGCGACGAUCCGUAGCGGGUCUGAGAGGAUGAUCCGCCACACUGGGACUGAGACACGGCCCAGACUCCUACGGGAGGCAGCAGUGGGGAAUUUUGGACAAUGGGCGCAAGCCUGAUCCAGCCAUGCCGCGUGAGUGAAGAAGGCCUC